GGCCUGGGCCUGUUUCAAAAUGGCGGCCUGCAAAAUCGUUAUAAACACGAGUAAACCCGAAUUCCUGUCAGUUGACGUGGCAGUUAUUGACGAACACAGUUCUAGGGAUACAAAAAACGAGAAAAGCGGAUUCCUAAAUAUGAUUUUUUUUUAACUUCAAAUAUGUGAGGGCAAACGUCGUGAGUUUUGUCCAAGGGGCCGCAACCGCGCCGGCAAAAUCCUUGUCGGCUCUUUUCUUCAUAUGAUUCACAAAGACCAUGGUCAUAGGGUUCUGUACUACAAGACCGCCGGCACCGUUCACCAUGGUUAGACCGACCAUUGCUCUGUACAUGCUCAUUUGAGCUUUCUCCUUGUCGCCUGUUGACAAAUGGAUAUAUUAAAAAAUUAUUUUUUUAA